GCCGCUUCCAUGCCUUCAUCCUGGGCCUCCUCAACACCAAGCAGCUGGAGCUGUGGUUUUCCAGCCUCCAGGAAGAUGCAGGCCUGCUGUCCCUGCUGUACCUGCCCACGGGAUUCUUC